rnacentral:rRNA from 1 species
CAAAACUUUCAACUAACGGAUCUCUUGGUUCUGGCAUCGAUGAAGAACGCAGCGAAAUGCGAUAAGUAAUGUGAAUUGCAGAAUUCAGUGAAUCAUCGAAUCUUUGAACGCACAUUGCGCCCGUCAGUAUUCUGGCGGGCAUGCCUGUUCGAGCGUCAUU